UGGGGAAUUGUUCACAAUGGGCGCAAGCCUGAUGACGCAACGCCGCGUGGGGGAUGAAGGUCUUCGGAUCGUAAACCCCUGUCGAAUGGGACGAAUAGCCCGCGAAUUAAUACCUCGUGGGAAUGACGGUACCGUUAAAGGAAGCCACGGCUAACUCUGUGCCAGCAGCCGCGGUAAUACAGAGGUGGCAAGCGUUGUUCGGAAUUACUGGGCGUAAAGGGCGCGUAGGCGGCCAUCUAAGUCAGACGUGAAAUCCCCCGGCUCAACCUGGGAACUGCGUCUGAUACUGGGAGGCUAGAGUUUGGGAGAGGGAUGUAGAAUUCCAGGUGUAGCGGUGAAAUGCGUAGAUAUCAAGAGGAACACCUGAGGUGAAGACGGGUUGCUGGGCUGACACUGACGCUGAGGCGCGAAAGCCAGGGGAGCAAACGGGAUUAGAUACCCGAGUAGUCCCUGAGCGGGCUGGCAAGGCGCAU
rnacentral:rRNA from 1 species